rnacentral:lncRNA from 1 species
AGCUCUGACUCAAGAAUAUGCUGCAUUCUGGAACCACUACACUCCUUGACUCAGGAAUCGGCUCUGGAAGGUGAGUGCGGGCACCCUUCCGGAAGCUUCCGGGGCCGCCCUGCCCGGUCCCCGCUCACACGUCCUGUCGCUCUCUGCAGGUCAAGCUACAGGAACGAGACCAGCCCGACAGCAAGACCGUCGGAAGCGAGCAGCACCCGCGGCGGCCGCCACCCCGCCUGGCGCCUCCGUCUCCGUGGCCACCCUGCCGUGGACAGGCGACCACCAACCAGCCUCCACGCCCCCACGCCCCUCACCCUCCUUCUCUUCUUCCUUUCCUCUGUGCUUUCAUUUCCUUUCUUUCCUUUCCCCUUUGCUCGGGACUCAAAGCCACCGUGACUCCGUUUCCCCGUCCCUCCCGAAUUCAAUUUGCACUAAGUCGUUUGCACUGGUUUGGAGUUCUGGGUCUGGCCUCGAGUCCCCGAGCGCGUGUGCAAGCAAGAUGCUGAGUGCCCGCGCCGUGCCCAGCGCCCACCUGCCGUCCAUCUCUGCCUGGGGGUGCCUGGGUGCGUCCGAGUGUGUGGGGCCCCACCCUCCCCUUGCCUAGUCUGGGAGCUCCAAACACCGAGCAAACCUUGAAGCAUUCCGUUGUAGAGCAGCUCGCUCUGUGCCCCUCCCCGCCAGGGUUUCACCAGAAGCCCUGGACUCAUCAAUAAACUCAGUUACAGCAA